rnacentral:rRNA from 1 species
UGGGGAAUUUUGCACAAUGGAGGAAACUCUGAUGCAGCGACGCCGCGUGAGUGAUGAAGAUCUUCGGAUUGUAAAACUCUUUCCUUAGUGAAGAUAAUGACAGUAACUAAGAAGCAAGCACUGGCUAAAUACGUGCCAGCAGCCGCGGUAAUACGUAUGGGGCAAGCGUUGUCCGGAAUUAUUGGGCGUAAAGGGUACGUAGGCGGUUUAAUAAGUCCUAAUUAAAAGGCUAUGGCUCAACCAUAGUAUGGUUAGGAAACUGUUGAACUUGAGUAGAUGAGGGGAAAGUGGAAUUCCAUGUGUAGCGGUGAAAUGCGUAGAUAGAUGGAGGAACACCAAUGGCGAAGGCAACUUUCUGGAAUCAAACUGACGCUGAGGUACGAAGGCGUGGGGAGCAAACAGG